UACGUAGGCAGCGAGCGUUGUUCGGAAUUACUGGGCGUAAAGAGUGUGUAGGCGGUGCUCUAAGUUCGGUGUGAAAUCUCCUGGCUCAACUGGGAGGGUGCGCCGGAAACUGGAGUGCUUGAGCGUGGGAGAGGAAAGCGGAAUUCCUGGUGUAGCGGUGAAAUGCGUAGAUAUCAGGAGGAACACCUGUGGUGUAGACGGCUUUCUGGACCAGAGCUGACGCUGAGACAUGAAAGCGUGGGUAGCAAACAGG
rnacentral:rRNA from 1 species